rnacentral:tRNA from 3 species
GGAGAGAUGACGGAGUGGUCGAACGUGCCGGUCUCGAAAACCGGUGUGCCGCAAGGUACCGGGGGUUCGAAUCCCCCUCUCUCCGC